GUGCAUUGGGUAGGGGAGCGUUCUGUAAGCGGUUGAAGGUGUGUGGUAACGCAUGCUGGACGUAUCAGAAGUGCGAAUGCUGACAUGAGUAACGAUAAAGGGGGUGAAAAACCUCCUCGCCGGAAGACCAAGGGUUCCUGUCCAACGUUAAUCGGGGCAGGGUAAGUCGACCCCUAAGGCGAGGCCGAAAGGCGUAGUCGAUGGGAAACGGGUUAAUAUUCCCGUACUUCUUACAAUUGCGAUGGGGGGACGGAGAAGGCUAGGUGGGCCUGGCGACGGUUGUCCAGGUUCAAGU
rnacentral:rRNA from 1 species